CAAAAGGAUGGGCGAGUUCGGUUUGAGUGUUCAUCGAUCGGGUGGAUCUAUAUGCUUCGGGGUGGUGAGACGAGGUGUAGCGCAGUCUGGUCAGCGCAUCUGUUUUGGGUACAGAGGGCCAUAGGUUCUCCGGCGAGCUUUCUAUCGUAAAGCCAAAGACGCCCCAAGACAAGGUACAACUGUUGGGAAGGGGACAUGAUCAAUAGAACCUGGCUGGAUCCGGGCUG
rnacentral:lncRNA from 1 species